GAUCAUGGCUCAGGAUGAACGCUGACAGAAUGCUUAACACAUGCAAGUCAACUUGAACUUCGGUUUGGGUGGCGGACGGGUGAGUAACGCGUAAAGAACUUGCCUCACAGCUAGGGACAACAUUUGGAAACGAAUGCUAAUACCUGAUAUUAUGAUUUUAGGGCAUCCUAGAAUUAUGAAAGCUAUAUGCGCUGUGAGAGGGCUUUGCGUCCCAUUAGCUAGUUGGAGAGGUAACGG
rnacentral:rRNA from 1 species